GGCGGUCGUCAGCUCGUGUCGUGAGAUGUUGGGUUAAGUCCCGCAACGAGCGCAACCCACGUCUUUAGUUGCCAGCAUUUAGUUGGGCACUCUAGAGAGACCGCCGGUGAUAAACCGGAGGAAGGUGUGGAUGACGUCAAGUCAUCAUGCCCCUUACAUCCUGGGCUACACACGUACUACAAUGCUACGGACAAAGGGCAGCAAACUCGCGAGAGCUAGCAAAUCCCAUAAACCGUGGCUCAGUUCAGAUCGUAGGCUGCAACUCGCCUACGUGAAGGAGGAAUCGCUAGUAAUCGCAGGUCAGCAUACUGCGGUGAAUACGUUCCCGGGCCUUGUACACACCGCCCGUCACACCAUGGAAGUUGGCCACGCCCGAAGUCGUUACUCCAACCCUUGUGGAGGAGGAUGCCGAAGGUGGGGCUGAUGACUGGGGUGAAGUCGUAACAAGGUAGCCGUACCGGAAGGUGCGGCUGGAUCACCUCCUAA
rnacentral:rRNA from 1 species